rnacentral:lncRNA from 1 species
UUUAAGUGUUUAUGUGAAAAUUAUUGAAAAACGGCACGGUGUUAAAGUGUGUGUGUAUAUGUAGAAUGGCGUGAAGUGUGAAGGACUAUGUCUUCUCUUUUCUCUGAAAAUUGAUUCGGAGGGAUCGAAAGCAGAAAUGGCAGGAGAAGCAACGAUAUAAUUGAAACAUAACAUCAACAAGAUCAGAUUUUUAAGUUAGGAUUGGUCGGAGCAUCUCCGAGGUCGUUUUUAGAGGUAAAAAAUAGGAACCUUUUUUGAGUUUUCGUUUCACUCUAUUAUUCAAUCUCUUAACUUUACAGCGUUUUCUUUGGACUUUUUGUUUUCUUCUUUCAGUAUAUGUGAUUAGUUCCAGUGUAAAUUACUGGUUAAAGAUUGAAAGUUUACAUUUUUAUCUCAGAGUAAGCUCUUGAAAGUUUCUUGUCGAUUUUGUUGUUUCUCGUCUCUUUGAAGAUAAUGGAUGCAAAAGGAAAGAUAUCAUUAGCAUUGGUUCCAGCUACAUUUUAAGAAUAUCAUGUGGAUCAAACGUGGUAUAAUUCAAGUUUUCAUAAACAAAAUUUACUUGAUUCUUCUCUCAAGAGAGUAACAUUGGGCUUAGUGAUGUCUCACUUGGAGUUGGGUAUAUCAUUUUGAGAAGCUUUUAUGUUCUUAAAGCUGGAAUUUCUAUCUGUCGUUGUUGUGAUUGCUCUGAACCGAAAAAACCAUUUUCAUUGUCUUUGUUACUUCGAUGGCCGAUCGUUUCAACCACCCAAUGGAGCAAAACGUUUGUGUUUGCCUUGUUUUGUGGCUGCUGCAUGUAUGAUUUCCCUGGAUGGAAUUGGAUGUAAUGUUUUAUGUUUUGCAACUCAUGGUUAAUCUUUUUGUUGAGCAACCCGGUUCUGUAGAUUCAAUUCCUCUUUAUCUAAUGAGUCCUGAAUCAGCACAACUUCUCUAAAAAACAGACUUUUCUUCUCAAUGAAUUGAUUUAUUAUCUGUAGAAAACCUUACAUGUAAUCCAGCCACUCGAAAACAAAAUUGAGACAAUGUAUACACUGUUUUGUAUUGCAGGUAAAGUCUUGAAGUAUGGCGGAAAGACUGAGCAAGCUUGGAGGGAUACUUAUAUGUUUUCUUGUCAUCAAGUUUUCUUGCUGAAGAGCAAUACAUCAGAG